UAUCAUAUAGCUCAGUGGCUAGAGCACUCCUUUGUAACUGGGAGAGGUCGCAGGUUCAAAUCCUGUUAUGAUAA
rnacentral:tRNA from 1 species